AUUGAACGCUGGCGGCAGGCCUAACACAUGCAAGUCGAACGGUAACAGGAAGCAGCUUGCUGCUUUGCUGACGAGUGGCGGACGGGUGAGUAAUGUCUGGGAAACUGCCUGAUGGAGGGGGAUAACUACUGGAAACGGUAACUAAUACCGCAUAACGUCGCAAGACCAAAGAGGGGGACCUUCGGGCCUCUUGCCAUCGGAUGUGCCCAGAUGGUAGUAGCUAGUAGGUGGGGUAACGGCUCACCUAGGCGACGAUCCCUAGCUGGUCUGAGAGGAUGACCAGCCACACUGGAACUGAGACACGGUCCAGACUCCUACGGGAGGCAGCAGUGGGGAAUAUUGCACAAUGGGCGCGAGCCUGAUGCAGCCAUGCCGAGUGUAUGAAGAAGGCCUUCGGGUUGUAAAGUACUUUCAGCGGGGAGGAAGGGAGUAAAGUUAAGACCUUUGCUCAUUGACGUUACCCGCAGAAGAAGCACCGGCUAACUCCGUG
rnacentral:rRNA from 1 species